GGUGAGUAACACGUGGGUAACCUGCCUGUAAGACUGGGAUAACUCCGGGAAACCGGAGCUAAUACCGGAUAGUUCCUUGAACCGCAUGGUUCAAGGAUGAAAGACGGUUUCGGCUGUCAUUACAGAUGGACCCGCGGCGCAUUAGCUAGUUGGUGGGGUAAUGGCUCACCAAGGCGACGAUGCGUAGCCGACCUGAGAGGGUGAUCGGCCACACUGGGACUGAGACACGGCCCAGACUCCUACGGGGGCAGCAGUAGGGAAUCUUCCGCAAUGGACGAAAGUCUGACGGAGCAACGCCGCGUGAGUGAUGAAGGUUUUCGGAUCGUAAAGCUCUGUUGUUAGGGAAGAACAAGUGCGAGAGUAACUGCUCGCAUGACGGUACCUAACCAGAAAGCCACGGCUAACUACGUGCCAGCAGCCGCGGUAAUACGUAGGUGGCAAGCGUUGUCCGGAAUUAUUGGGCGUAAAGGGCUCGCAGGCGGUUUCUUAAGUCUGAUGUGAAGCCCCCGGCUCAACCGGGGAGGGUCAUUGGAAACUGGGAAACUUGAGUGCAGAAGAGGAGAGUGGAAUUCCACGUGUAGCGGUGAAAUGCGUAGAGAUGUGGAGGAACACCAGUGGCGAAGGCGAUCUCUGGUCUGUAACUGACGCUGAGGAGCGAAAGCGUGGGGAGCGAACAGGAUUAGAUACCCUGGUAGUCCACGCCGUAAACGAUGAGUGCUAAGUGUUAGGGGGUUUCCGCCCCUUAGUGCUGCAG
rnacentral:rRNA from 1 species